CAGCUCGUGUCGUGAGAUGUUGGGUUAAGUCCCGCAACGAGCGCAACCCUUAUUUGCUAGUUACCAUCAUUGAGUUGGGGACUCUAGGCGAGACUGCCAGUGAUAAACUGGAGGAAGGUGGGGAUGACGUCAAAUCAUCAUGCCCCUUAUGACCUGGGCUACAAACGUGAUACAAUGGCUGAAACAGAGGGAGGCGAAGGGGUGACCUGGAGCGAAACCCAGAAAACAGUCUCAGUUCGGAUUGAAGUCUGCAACUCGACUUCAUGAAGUCGGAAUCGCUAGUAAUCGCGGAUCAGAACGCCGCGGUGAAUACGUUCUCGGGUUU
rnacentral:rRNA from 1 species